GAGCGUUUGGCCGAGUGGUUAAGGCGUUGUGUUUAGGAAAAGGCUUCUUCUAAAAAGCUUAACCUUGAACCGCAAUGGGUCCGCCCGCGCAGGUUCGAACCCUGCAGCGCUCA
rnacentral:tRNA from 1 species